UGCACAUAAUACAAUCGACAGACACACGUCGGUCGAUGGUGUACAAUAGAACCAUAUAUCCGAUAGCCAUGCCGCAUCGUCCUGGAAAGAACUCACAAAGGAAUUCAUUCCAUAGUUUGAAUACGUGGAAGAAAGUUUCUUUACAAUCUUUCCGUCGAGCAACGCCAUGGAUCCAAAAGGUGAAUGAAGACUGACAAGAUGAAGAUACUGCAAUGUAAAGACCAGGCUUGCACGAUGUGUAGUUUGUGAUUUUCAAGAGAAUAUAUAACCCUAAAUCAAAUAAUUAUUCAACCAUGUGACCAAAUACGCUCAAUCAAACUCCGAGCUAAUAGUGAAGCUACGACGCGCUUGAAACAACCGUGUAUCCGCUGAAAUAUAGUCUACAUUAUUGUUAUAAGUUCAAAGGAAAUAGAUUUCAUAUUUGAAUUUAUAUUUCUUUUGUUAUGGACAUAUUAUCAGAGUGAAUUUUUAUGAUGCGCGCGCACACUGUCAUGAAAAUUCGACACCCUGACGUUAGCUUGUCAACUAGACCAUUUGUAUCAUACUUCAGCUACCGAGCCUCUUGUAACUCAUGUCUACUGAACCACAACCAAUGGACGAGAAUUAAAUGAUUUUCAAUAUAUAAUUUAUAUUUCUAUACAAGUUUUAAGAUAAUAAAAUAAUUUUCUCUAAUUGUAUAAAAAUUGUGAAGAUCGCCAGAAUACGUUGGAUGAGGACAGAGCAGGACUCAUCGUCAUGGAGAUCUUUGGGGGAGGCCCUUGUCCAGCAGUGGACGUUUUCCGGCUGAUGAUGUAUAAAAAUAAUGUUAUAUAGUAAUAUAUUCAUUGGUUGUAUUUGAUACCUUGUUUAAGAAUAACUCCUUGCGUGCGUACAUAAGUAAAUACAGUGCUCCCAAAUUAACAAUGCGCAUACGGAUCUUCGCCACUUUUCGGCAACACUCGUAUUUCCCUACCGUCGGGAGACGAUAUCUAUAUAGAGUGGUAAAAUGCAUUACUUUUGCAUAAUUUAGUAGAAUUAUAUUACAAUAAUAAUAACGAGAGGGGUGUGUAAUAGGAGCUCUAUACAAUUCCACAUAGACUGAACACGUGCAGUCGGCACCGAUACUUAAAGACGACUGACUGACCGGCUACCACAGCCGACCGCCCGAUUUGUUUUCGUAUUGUGAACACAUGAUUUGACUCCUAUUUCUUUCGCACAGGGUGCAAAAUGCAAGUGCAUUGUUUAGGGCUCUUAUGAUUGAAUGAUUCCGGGAAUACGCCCAUUAGCGAAGAUCUGUAUUCGCAUUAUUAAUUUGGGAGCACUGUACACACUUUUUUUUAAUAACUAUUGUAAAUAAAUUUAUUCAGUAUCUUAUAUUAAUAUAAGAUAUUUAUAUAUUAAUUUAAAUUGUAUAUGCAAAAAUGAAGUGAACAAAGAUAAAGUAAACAAUUAUUGUCAAUAGCAUCUGAGUAUUUUUCACUGUUUAGUCUUUAAGAUAUAUGUUAAUUAGAUAAGUGACAUGAAAAGCCUUUACUGCCUUAAAAGUGUAGGUUUGUUGUGAAUGUGAAGCCUUAAGGUACUCUCUCCUUGGCUUGGCAUAAGAAUACAACAAUUUUUGUUUUGCAAAUGUUGUAACAAUAACUGAAUAUUCGAUUUUCGUAUGAAAUAUUGUAAUUUUAGUUUUAAUGAACUUAUUUUGCUGUUGAUAGUUUAGUAAUAGUACUGUAGUUUUUCAUUUUUAUUCAUUUGCAAAUAUAUUUUUAAUAAAAUUAUCAGCAGCAAAUAAAUAUAAGGAAUAAUAUAAAUUCAAUAAUAAUGGGUGACAUCUUUAAAAUGGCAGUUCGCAAGUGUCGAGGAUCAGAAACUAACCUAACUAUACUAGCGUAUAGAUGAACAUCUCUAUCGAUAACGAAAGCUAACCUAUUGUUAAUGUCACAGAUUUUAAUUGACAAGCCGUAAAAAGUAAGCCACGCGUGAUAUUAGCUCCUUUUUUUACAUGAAAAUAAGGGACGAGACGAGCAGGACGUUAAGCUGAUAAUUGAUACGCCUUACCCUAGGACUCUUGAAAAAUCUGAACAUUCUGAGCGGCACUACAAUUGCGCUCGUCACCUUGAGACAUAAGAUGUUAAGUCUCAUUUGCCCAGUAGUUUCACUAGCUACAGCGCCCUUCAAACUGAAACAUAGUAAUGUUUAAACAUUACUGCUUCACGGCAGAAAUUGGCGCCGUUGUGAUACCCAUAAUCUAGCCGGCAUCCUGUGCAAAGCAGCCCACAUAUUGACAAAUAAAAUUGGUUUAUACGCUAUGAUAUUCAAAUUUAUGGUGUACUGUGACAGAGGAAAACGAUGAAUCUUAGAAUACUUGUCAAAUCUGUCAUGAGCCUAUCCAACUCUAAAGAUGUCUGUGCAACCCGUAGAUAGAAGACGGACACUAGAUUCGCUGUAAGUGCAUGUAAAUGAGAUAGCAAUAGUCUGUGACAUGUGUUAUCUUUUCGUUUUGAACGAUUUGUACAAUAACCAACCAUAUUUUGAUAAUAACUGAACUCACACAAAAUCACUCAAUUACGUAUUUGUUGUGAGCCGAUGUACUGGGUCCAAACAAAAGUAUCGCAUGCGGGAAAGGGAUAGCAGAUAUUGUAGUGUAUCUCGCUUACUCUCAAUACCAAUCUAAUUUAUGUGUCUCUGUCACUUUAUUAUUGUUAUUUUAUUAACCUAUCUAUUGUUCAUCUUCAUAGAACUAAAUUUUAAAAUAUAAAAAAUUUCCUUAAAUAUUCUAUAGAACCGAGCGAUACA